ensembl:lncRNA
UUUUAGGUUUCAGUGGACAAGAUCUAUAAAAGGAAAAAAGCACACUAUUCACUGGAAAACAGUUAUUUAGGUACAAUAAUUUGUACUUUAUGUCAUAUUAUAAUGAUAUUUAGCUUGUCUGUUUCCUCUUUCUCCCUUCAUACAUCAUCAAGAAGGAUUUGGUGGCAGUUACUGAAGUUGAUGAAUCUGACUGAAAUUUCUUUUCUGGGUUGUGUGUUACAGGGGUUGCUUGAGGAGCUUUUGUGGUCAGUCUCAGAUGGAAUGGAAUCCUUCACUCUCUGUACCUUCUGGAUUUCACAGUCCUGAAAUGAGUCUCAGAAGCCUGUGAUCUGUUAGACCUGCACACUACUGAAGUGAAAAAAAGAAUGAAACGUAGAAUGUGGAAAGAAGACAGCACUGUUUUUUCUCAUAUUUGUUUUCCUUAUCAGCAAGUCCAACUUUGAAAAGCUGUCUUUGAUUUUGAAAUUUCUCUGCUGUUAUCCUAGAGACUUGUGUAAAUAUUUAGAGAUAUAAAUGCUGUUUUUUGGAGUAAGAGAUACCUGCGCUUUUGUGCACAGCAGUCAGAGAUGAAGUUUUUACAAUAUUCCCUUACAGUAUCCCUGUUUUCUUUAUUUCUGAAAGUUGACAUUGAAAUCAAAUCGGAUCAGUUUCUGGCUUAUGCUUUAAUGAGGUACCAAAGGGCAGUUAAGGAUCUGCUUCUUGAAAUGAUAUGUCUGAAUGAAAACCCACCUGUUGUUUCCUUUUGUCAGCUGUCCUCAGAUUCUCUUCUCAGUCAAAUCUAUGAAAUAAUUUGCCAGUUGUUGCAGUCUGUCAACUACACCUGUUAACUAGAAG